rnacentral:lncRNA from 1 species
CGGCCCAUAAGCUUCAAGCCCAAAGAUUCACUAGGGUUUUCUUGAAGAUUACUCCACCCAAGACCUAUAUAAAGGGGUCAAGGGAGAACGCUAAGGGACAAGCAAGUAAGCAGAAGGAAAGGCUAAAGAAGCUCCGAAGAAUAGCAUCAAGGUCUCCAUCCAUAGCUGCAAUCGUCGUCUGUGGUUAAAUUCCCAAAAGCGAACUCAAGACAUAGGAGGGCGGCUUCAAAUAUUCCGUUCGUGAUAACCCAACACCAAAUCCUGGUUCUUGACGAGCUUCAAAUUGUUUGUGACGUACUAUAAAUCUGAAAUCCGUCAAGUUCAAGAUCAAGCUUUCAAGCUCUUGAACCAUCAUCCAUGAGGAGAAGGAUUAGAUGACUACAUCUCUUUAGAUUUAGAGAUAUUUUAGAUAUUGUGACCCCAUCACUUGAAAUCAAUUAUAAUACUUGUUGCUAUAAUCAGAGGACUAUAUCUCUUUAGAUUUAGAGAUAUUUUAGAGAUUGUAACCCC